AAAAAAGUAAAAAAAACAAAAGAAAAAACCCUCCUCCUUUUUCUCUUUUCUGCAAGAACAACAAAUUAACCUGACUGAACUCACUUUCUCUCUCUACCUCAAACUUCUUCAUUUUUUGUCUCAAUUCUCCAUGGGAAGACCUCGAGGUUCCAAACGCACCCUUGAUACCUUUACCAUUAAACCCCUAAACAAGCCCAUCAAGCCGGGAGACUGCGUCCUGAUGAAGCCGGCAGAUCCCUCGAAUCUUUCCUACGUGGCGCGCGUUGAGAGGAUAGAAUCCGACUCACGUGGGACCAAUGCCCGUGUCCACGUGCGGUGGUAUUACCGGCCGGAGGAGUCGAUCGGUGGUCGGCGGCAGUUUCAUGGGUCGAAGGAGCUGUUUCUUUCGGAUCAUUUCGAUGUUCAAAGCGCUGAUACCAUUGAAGGGAAGUGUACGGUUCAUAGUUUUAAGAGUUAUACUAAGCUUGAUGCUGUUGGAAACGACGAUUUCUUCUGUCGUUUUGAGUACAACUGUUCUACCGGUGCUUUUACCCCUGAUCGCGUUGCCGUGUACUGCAAGUGUGAAAUGCCGUACAAUCCCGAUGAUUUGAUGGUCCAGUGUGAGUCAUGCAGUGAUUGGUUCUGUGAGGAGUUUUGUUUCACCCUGCUUGUAUAGAAAUGACGGCAGAAGAAGCUAAAAGACUUGAUCACUUCUUCUGCCAAAAUUGUUCCUCCGAAGAUCCAAAGAAGUUGCAGAACUCACAUGCUGCAUCUAGACAUUCUGAUACGAAGGGAUAGGAAACCGGUAUGGAAUGAUGGUGUUUCAGAAGUGGGAUAAUGGAUGUAUACUGUCAAUUUCUUUCCCCCAAGGAUUGCUGCAGAAUAAUAAAAAAAUCAGCAUUUUCUCGGCACGCUGUUUGGGAUCUCUAAUGAUUUGUCAUGUUGAUAAUUGUGAAAUGUUGUUAUAAUUAUGGUAUGCAUGUUUCUAGACAUUUCACUCUUCAGCUCUGCAUUCUUAUUUGUAUUUUGGCAUUUCUCAAUCAACAUAUUACAUAUGUUUGGAAAAAUAGAUCUUGAUAAAUUUUCAAGUGUUUUUUUUUAAAUGCUAAGACUUGAAUUUUCCCUAUUCUUGAUUGCUCUUGGGAGCCUAGGAUGUCAGAACCAUCACGUUUGGCCCUCUUUUACUCAGCCAUCAAAAAUUCAAAACUUAAGGCCCAGGAGAUCACUACUUGUAUCAUCUUUUGGGUGGGGGUAUGGCAUUGAUGAAGAGCACUUUGACAGGGAUUCACUAUUUACGGAGUAAUGCUUCUAAUGUGCAGCUUUUAGAACCAAGUUCUCUGUUUAUGUGUUGGCAAGUUGCUUUGUUUUGGGUACUAGGGACGAGAUAUAUUAUAACACGUUUACACUUCCUCUGUUUUUUAGUUGCAACCGUUUGACUUGCACACUUGUCAAUGCAACUUAGACCAUAAAUAUAUUUGAUUAUUUACAAGUAAAAGUUAUAAAAAGUUGAUAUUGAAAAUAUGCGUUGAGACUUAUCUUACAAGAUCUCACAUGACAUAUUUAUGUAGCUUACCUAUAUAUCAACAUAGAUGGUCAAAAUGCUUUCAGCUAAACCUGUGUUUAGAUUACUUUUUAUAUUUUACAUUGGUUUUUUUUGGGGUGGGGGUGAGAGUGGGACUGUCGCGCACCUAAGAGUAGUGAGGCACUUGGUUGUAACUGGAGCAUUGUACAUGGACAUGGUAAUGUUAAGAGUACAAGAAGGAAAUUGCAGGUCCAUGAUUUAGGCUAUUAUUACAUCUGGUUUUGAAACCAGCUUGCUCAUUGGCUAUUGCUGUAUGCAGUAGUUGAGCUGAAUUGUAGAAUUUUUUUUAUCUUUCAAAGAUGAGUCAUUUAGCAGAAUUAUCAGUUGUCUUGAAUUGUGGUGGAUGUCAAUUCUUCCGCUCGUUGGAGGGUUGCAUUACUAAAACUGAUUGUAAAUUUCUGAUUGUAAAUUUCUGAAUUGUCAUGAAGAAAUGACAAGAAACAUGGAAUACCCCAGUUGGACAAAAAAAUCUUGUGUAUCAAAUCAAUUAAGUUUUUGGUAGUCCAAGAAGAAAAUGAUUGAGAGUUUUACGUGAUUUUAAGAAUUACGCUUUGGCCUAUUUGUGAUGAUUAAAGGGUAUACUUUGUAGUAUAUUGUGCUUAAAUUCAUUGCUCUGUAUUUCUGUAAUACUUUUGUAAUACUUUUGGUUGUGUUACUUUUUUUUUGCUGGUCUUACAAAUUUGAAUA